rnacentral:rRNA from 1 species
GAUGAACGCUGGCGGCGUGCCUAAUACAUGCAAGUCGAGCGAACGGACGAGAAGCUUGCUUCUCUGAUGUUAGCGGCGGACGGGUGAGUAACACGUGGAUAACCUACCUAUAAGACUGGGAUAACUUCGGGAAACCGGAGCUAAUACCGGAUAAUAUUUUGAACCGCAUGGUUCAAAAGUGAAAGACGGUCUUGCUGUCACUUAUAGAUGGAUCCGCGCUGCAUUAGCUAGUUGGUAAGGUAACGGCUUACCAAGGCAACGAUGCAUAGCCGACCUGAGAGGGUGAUCGGCCACACUGGAACUGAGACACGGUCCAGACUCCUACGGGAGGCAGCAGUAGGGAAUCUUCCGCAAUGGGCGAAAGCCUGACGGAGCGACGCCGCGUGAGUGAUGAAGGUCUUCGGAUCGUAAAACCCUGUUAUUAGGGAAGAACAUAUGUGUAAGUAACUGUGCACAUCUUGACGGUACCUAAUCAGAAAGCCACGGCUAACUACGUG